ensembl:ncRNA lncRNA:CR45920 long non-coding RNA:CR45920
AGGUGCAGUGCGUCGCGAAGCGUCAGCGUGUACGGUUGGCUUUUAAGAUUUCAAGAGUUCCCAAAGGCGAUCGGAAAAGUUGGCAGUAAUAGGGGGAAAUUCCACCCCCCGAGCGGGUGACGUUACCCCGUUUCAAUAUUCAAAUAUUCAAUAUAAUAUUCGUAGUGCUCAGUGCUGGAGAGUAGGGUUCCCGGAUCCAGGAUCCAUUCGGUACUCUUCCCACAGAAGUGGGCGUUCUUCGGUGCCUGUUGCCAGGUCCCCAGAUGAACCCCACCCACACAGAUACACACACACACACCCACACUCGCACACACUCUGGCGAUAAUUUUUCAUCUUUCCAAUAUCCCACUCGACUGGCGAAAUAUUCGCCUCUGGCGUUCGGCUAAAAAUAUUUGAAAAUCCAAAAAUCCACUUCAACCUACUACGGCCGCCUGUUUUUCAUAAUUUUCAGUUUCGGUUUUAUUUAUUUACCCUAUACAUACGCAUACUAGCACGUCCGGCCAUUUUCCGACGUCUUUUUGUUUUGCGACUGCCGAAAGUUUUGCCGUUUCAUUUGGCAUGUCGUCGUUUUUGUUUAUACCACCCUGCCGAUUUCCCGGUUUUCGCCAGCCCGCCCUUGCACCCUUGGCCGUACAUUUUCUGCAUUUUCUUGGCGAUUUCCACAUUUUCCCACAUUUUUCGCGGCCUUUGUCUCUUGCGGAGACGGAUUUCGGAGCCGGAGUAGGUGGAUGGCGGUCUUAAUUGCCAGUCCCGUGGUACAAAUCACAACCUAAUGGGCAGCCUCCACCCGAGUGGUUUACAACUUCCUUGGCCAGAUAUCGCUGUACAUGAUUAGAUAUAUACAUAUAAUAGUAAGUAUGUAUGUACAUGGACGGAUAGUUGGCAUCGGAAGACAGCUGUGUGCAUUGGCAGAUGCCAUCAACAUCAUCAUCAUCAUCAUGAUCAGCACCAUCAUCUUGGUCGUCCAUUGCGUUUGUGGGGGAAGUCCAUAAAAAAAAAGAAACCAAACCAGCACACAGUUAUAAAAAUAAAACUAUUUUCGUAUGGCGUGCAUAUAGACGCUCGAUCAUUAGACGGCAGCAGAGCCGCCACUUGGCACAGUUUUCCAGAGCACAGAUUGGACCAUAAAUCAAUCGAACCAAAUUAAAUUAAUUCAAUUCAAUUCCAAUCCAAAUCCCAAACAAGAACCAAUCUCAUCACGGCUCCAUGUGUGCGGAUCGGUAUGUGAAAAGUGGAUACACAAAUUCUAGUCGAUUUGUCUUUUUCCGCUUACUGGCGUUUCAAUUCCACAACGACAGGAAAGGGAAAAAGGCGUAUUUACUAUGAGUUUGCUCAGCGAUUUGCAGGUGAUCCAGGUGUAUAUAGUAUUAGUAAGUAUUUCAUCGUUUGGUGAUAUACACUCGAGAAUAUAUUUCAUCUGACUAAUCAAAGUCAACUGACGCAACGACGCAUUCAACUCAUUUUACGGCUCAUCUGCGAUCAUUAUCAUCAAAAUCAUGAGCAUCUAACAAAAAGUCAUAAAGUCGCCAAAGCCGAAGAACUCUAAUUAAGUUUAAAGAUAGAACUUUUCAUGUUUUCUGUGCAGCUUCGUACGUUUUAAUGAUCUUUUGGUAAUUAAAAGUUGUGAAUGGCAGCGAAACUUUCAGUGCAGGUAUAUAAAAUCGUACCGAAAAUUAUUCGGAAAUAGCUUAUAAAAAUCUAUUGAGUAUCGGAACACACAGGGGGACAACACCCAAUGACUAAAUUCCUAAAAUUACAGCAUUUGGGAAUACGUAUUCCCAUUCACUGGUACAAAGCACAUUUGGAAAUCAAACACCAAGGCAGAGAAAACUCAAAAUCGUGCCAGCAGUCAUGUGCUUAGUAAUUUUUCUGAUUGCUCAAUACUCAAACGGUAUUCAGGAUUUCGAUUAAUAAUUAAUUAUAACACAGCCCGAACAAAGAAACAAUAUUUGCCAGAUUCCCCGAUCAUGCGGAAUCGAACAAAUUGCUUCGUCCGCCUUCAGCGAUCC